GACGAACGCUGGCGGCGUGCUUAACACAUGCAAGUCGAACGGAAAGGCCCUGCUUUUGUGGGGUGCUCGAGUGGCGAACGGGUGAGUAACACGUGAGGAACCUGCCCUUUACUUUGGGAUAACUUCAGGGAACUGGGGCUAAUACCGGAUAGGAGCUCCUUCUGCAUGGGGGGGGUGGGAAAGUUUCGGCGGUUGGGGAUGGACUCGCGGCUUAUCAGCUUGUUGGUGGGGUAGUGGCUUACCAAGGCUUUGACGGGUAGCCGGCCUGAGAGGGUGACCGGCCACAUUGGGACUGAGAUACGGCCCAGACUCCUACGGGAGGCAGCAGUGGGGAAUAUUGCACAAUGGGCGGAAGCCUGAUGCAGCAACGCCGCGUGCGGGAUGACGGCCUUCGGGUUGUAAACCGCUUUCGCCUGUGACGAAGCGUGAGUGACGGUAAUGGGUAAAGAAGCACCGGCUAACUACGUG
rnacentral:rRNA from 1 species